rnacentral:rRNA from 1 species
UACGGGGGGGGCAAGCGUUGUUCGGAAUUACUGGGCGUAAAGAGCUCGUAGGUGGUUUGUCGCGUUGUCCGUGAAAACUCACAACUCAAUUGUGGGCGUGCGGGCGAUACGGGCAGACUGGAGUACUGCAGGGGAGACUGGAAUUCCUGGUGUAGCAGUGAAAUGCGUAGAUAUCAGGAGGAAUACCGAUGGCGAAGGCAGGUCUCUGGGCUGAAACUGACGCUCAUGCACGAAAGCGUGGGGAGCAAACAGG